rnacentral:lncRNA from 1 species
UUUUUUUUUUUUUUUUUUUUUUUUAGAGUGGGAGAGGGGCAGGGGGAGAAGAAGAGAGAAUCUUAAGCAGGCUCCAUGCCCGGAGCGAAGCUGGAUGUGGUGCUCUAUCUCACCAGCCUGAGAUCAUGACCUGAGUCGAAAUCAAGAGUCAGAUGCUUAACCAACUGAGCUACCCAGGCGCCCCUUACCAUUACCUUUGAUUGUCUAUUAGAGAGUACUUCACGAUUCAUUUCUCAUUUAUGCACAGACUUACAAGAAAAACAUUAAUCAGAUGAAUUAUUUACCAGCACCUACCAAGAGCCCACAAUUAACCGCAAAUAAGUAAACUCUGAGGAGCAGGGAUCUGGCCUUUAAUUGUUUCUUAAGCAUUAAAAAGCUUGACCUUGGGAUGCCUGGGUGGCCCAGCAGUUUAGCGCCUGCCUUCAGCUUGGGGCAUGAUCCUGGAGUCCCGGGAUCGAGUCCCACAUCAGGCUUCCUGCGUGGAGCCUGCUUCUCCUUCUGCGUAGGUCUCUGACUCUCCCUCUCUCUCUGUGUGUCUCAUGAAUAAAUAAAUAAUCUUUUUUUUAUAAAUAAAAAAUCUUAAAAAAAAAUAAAAAUAAAAAAUAAAAAGCUUGACCUAGGGACGUCUGGGUGGCUCAGUUGGUGAAGCAUCUGACUCUUGGUUUCAGUUCAGGCUGUGAUCUCGGGGUCUUGAGAUCGAGCCCCACGUCAGACUCUGUGCUCAGCGUGGAAUCUGCUUUUAAAGACACUCUCUCCUGCCUCUUCCUCCCCAUGCAUGCUCUCUCUCUCUGUCCCUCAAAUAAAUAAAUAAAUCUUUUUAAAAAAAAAUUAAAAAGUUUGACCUGGUAAGUGAGAAGGAAAGGACAAGAACUGGAACCUGCUACUGUCAAACAAAGCUGUCCUAGCAAAAAACCCCAGACUGCCCUCCUGCCUGGCUCCAGAGGAUUCAGGCUUGAAACACUGCAUGGGAAAUCUUCAGCCAAAGUCCUCACCAGUCUCUCCUUUGACUAACAAUCACCAUCCCAGGAAGUGGGAACUAUAGCAACUUUCAUAGUGUAGGUUGGAUAGAGGAGUGGGGAGACCACCUAUACCCUUGAAGCAUAAAUUCUCAUCAAAAAGAUUACAAAGUACAUGGCCUUGGAAGAGAAGAAACACAAACAUGUAUAAAAAUACCUCCUGGAGUUCAAUUAGGAGGAUGAAAUAAAUCAAAUACACAAUUAAAUAGGAGACCAGGCCAAGAUGAUGCCUUGGGAUGCUGAUUGGAGUAGGUAGGCUUCUCCUGCAAAUGAUCUGUCAAGACUGAGAAGGUACAGGCUAUUCUAGGUGAGGAGAACAGUGAGUAACACUGGGAAAUCUCAGGGCGAGGCAGAAGUAGGGAGUGACGGGUAAGGUUAGAGAAGCAAGAAGAACACAGUUUACUAAGUGCUUUCAAAGCUAGAGACUAGUGCCAUGGAAAGAGAUAUGACACGUAUUAAAUUUCUCCAGAGAAAACAGAGCCAAAUGGAGAGGGGAAGGAGGAAAGGGAGAGAGAGAGAGAAGAGAUUUAUUUAGGAAUUGGCUCACAUGAUUACAGACACUGAGAAGUCCCAUGAUUUGCCAUGUGUAAACCAGGGAACCAGGGAAGUUGGUGGUAUAAUCCAGUCAAAUCCAAAGGCUGAGAACUAGAAGCACAGCUGUCCGGGUUCAGGAGUAGAUGGAUGACUUAGCACCAGCACAGAAAGCAAAUUUGUCCUUCCAGCUGCAUUUUUUGCUCUAUCCAGGCCCUCAGUGGAUUGAAUGAUGCCCACCAGCAUCAGUGAAGGGGAUCUAUUCACUCAGCCAAUCCAAGUGCUAAUCUCUUCCAGAGAUACCUCACAGAAGCACCCAGAAAUAAUCUUUUACCAGCUCUCUGGGCAUUUCGGAGCCUAGUCAAGGAGACACAAUAAAGUUAACCAUCACAGAGCUCGGUUUUAGGAAGAUUGUUCCAGGCACCAUGUGCUGGGUGGACUGGGGAGACUGAGUGGAGAUGAAGUGGAGACAGUCCAGAGUGGAAAAGAGAGUCAUAACGAGAGCACGGGCAGUGAGGAUGGAUAGGAAGGGAAGGACGGGAUAGUUGGGCAACAACCCCUACCACCCUCUCCCGUGCCCACCCCGUUCCAGUCACAGUGGUCUCCUUACUGGACCCCAAACACACCAGGCACACCUAGGGCCUUCGGCUUUGCAGCCCUCCUCCCUGACACCUGUCAUCUCAAUUCCUCAUUUCCUUCAUCUCUACACAAAUCCCCAUGACUACCAAACACAAAAUAGCGCCCUUCCCCACCACGGCCCUCCUAGCUCUUUUGCUUUAUUUUUCUCGAUGGUACUUAUCACUAUCCGAGCUAAUACAUAUUUAUUUAUUGUCUGUCCAUUACUGAUAGGAUGUAAGCUCCAUGAGGGCACAGAUUUUUUUUUAGGUUCACCAUUGUAUCCUCAUUGCCCAAAACAAAGCACGCAGUAUGAAUCCUCCAUGAAUAUUUGGGUUGGGGGGCACCUGGGUGGCUCAGUCAGUCAAGCAUCUGCCCUAAGCUCAGGCCGUGAUCCCGGAGUCCCCGGAUCAAGUCCUGCACUGGGCUCCCUGCUCGGUGGGGAAUCUGCUUCUCCCUCUGCCUCUGCCUCUCACCCCGGCACAUGUUUGCACUCUCUUUCUCUCUCUCUGACUCUGUGUCUCAAAUGAAUAAAUAAAAUCUUUUUUAAAAUUACAAAUAAAGAAAUAAAGAUGUCUAAGACGCCAUCAAAAAUCCAGAACGUAAAAAAAAAAAAAAAAA